rnacentral:rRNA from 1 species
AGAGUGAACGCUGGCGGCAGGCCUAACACAUGCAAGUCGAACGGCAGCACAGAGGAGCUUGCUCCUUGGGUGGCGAGUGGCGGACGGGUGAGGAAUACGUCGGAAUCUGCCUAUUUGUGGGGGAUAACGUAGGGAAACUUACGCUAAUACCGCAUACGACCUACGGGUGAAAGCGGAGGACCUUCGGGCUUCGCGCAGAUAGAUGAGCCGACGUCGGAUUAGCUAGUUGGUGAGGUAACGGCUCACCAAGGCGACGAUCGGUA